CGCCCAGGCCGGCGACCCAGACGUCCGGCCUGAGUGUGCAGGUCUUGGGGCUGAAAGCGGGGGCGCUUUGGAAGCCGUUCUCGAGGUGGAGGGAAAGGAUUCUUCUCUACCGUUUGGAGACCCAGUGCUGUCCCGGCCGGUGGGAGCGGCAGCACUGACGGGGUCUGACGGCAGGUCAGUGGGAGGUGCUGUUCCGGGAGGAAGAGAACUUGAGAGGGAACGGCUCAGAAGGUGAAGCACAGAGCAUUUUCUGCGACUCUCCUACGUGCCUGUAAGACUCUUCUGCGAAAACUCACUGGGUUCUCCCUUCACCUAAAAGCUCCUGAAACCUCCAUUCUUCAAAGUGUUCUUCAUCAAGAAGGGAUGUUCACAGAAACCAUAAUCCUUAGAAGAAGGCUCCCCCCACCCCGGCCCCCAGGGCCUACGGCACAGAGCUGUGAAGUCACUGGUCAGGGGUGGAAUGAGACCAGUGGCCACGGGGUGGAUGACGUCACCAGGAUCCAACCUGAACGUCCCCCAAAUGCGCCAAAGACAUCAUGUUCUCACCGGGUGAACCGUGAGAACUGUAACCCAGCGGGCCUCUGAUGUGUUAGCUGUGACAUUGGACCAGUGUGAGCCCACAGAGGUCUGCACGCUUGGAACUACUCAGAGGGAUCGUUAGGAAACACAGCCGCAAAUGCUGCCACUCAACCCAGCUUCAGCGCGUGAUGAAGCGUGUGCUCCAGGGAGGUGCGGAAGAGAGCGUCUUCUUCUUGAUAGGCGUUCUUACUUUACAGUGACAGAGUAAACGCACAGUGAAUUCUCACUAGUUGUAGGACAAACCUAAAAAAUCUUUUUAUAUAAGGACAUAGAAAAAUGUAAUGGCCACAGGCCAUGAGAAACAGCCUGUCAGGAUUAAGCAGAUUAUUCAGAAUUUAUUUGAAGCUGUGAGAGCCAUUCCUUUUUUGCACAGCUGAGUCAUGGUGUAAUUGUCAGACAUUCUGUGAGCACACUGAGCAAAUUUCUCCCUGCUAUUCUCUAUCCUAUAUGCUGUUUGUUUCUUUAAUAGUAGUAAUUAUAGGGGCGCCUGG